CUCCCCCGGAUGUAAAAAAACCAGCCCACUCACCCGGUCCGUUCCUCUCUCCCACUUCUCCCAAUCUCCCAUCUCGUCAUUGCGGAGGCAGCGGCAGCGGCAGCGACGUCACCGGAGGGACGACCCAGCGGCGAGGACUACCUCUCUAGCGAGCGGAGUACUUCCUUUCCUCUCUCAUGCGGUAGGGAUUCAGAGGCGCCGUGGGUGGUGUAAGAUCCGGGCGAGCUCGGCAGUGACAACGGCCUUCUCCAGCGUCCCUCUCCACCGCCGGCAGUAUUAUCGCCAGGUUAUUGGUUUUUGGGAGCGGUGCAGGGGAAGAGGAAGAAAGACCAAGAAAUGAAAGGAAAGAAAAAUGAGGAGCUCAGGUGAUGCAGGUGAUGCAGGUAAUGCUGGAGACGGGCUCCUGGCAGUGGGGUCAGAGGUGUAGAUCAUAGCGGAGGAGAUGAGCCAUGUGGAUGGCAUAGAAGAGGGGGAGCUCAAGGCUGCGGAGACGGAAGGAACAACGGCAAACAAGGAAUUGGAAUUCUGCCAAGAAAUCUAGGAGUAGAAGAAUAUGUAUGCAAGGGACUUGGAGACGAGGCAAUGGUGCGCUGGUGAGAACACUGUUGUUCUGAUGCGUUAGGAUUGGGGUUCGGCUGCUCUUCAGUUUGUUAUAUCAAGGUUUUGAAGCUUUGGGAGCCUGCGGCCGGUUCGACGGGUGGCAUUAGCAAGCACCGGCCGGCCUCGGCACAGCUUCGGGUGGUUAUAUGGUGGGCGGAGUACACGAGUGGGCUUCGAUGUCAGGAUAACCACCGUCCAUAGCUCUCAUGUGAAUGUGGCAAGGCCACAGAACAAGUUUUGCAUUGCCAGAUAUCCAACAGAUCAACUGGUGUUAUGGAUGCUUCUUAUAGAUAUUCUUUUGCCAUUUCAAACAUCAGACACCAGCUACUCACAAUGGAGACAGGAAACAUGUAGCUUCUGAUGUCAACUAAGUGAGCCUGCCAAUUGUGGCAAUGGAAGGAGGUGGCAUGUCGCCUCAUUCAUGAGGCUGUUAGUUUCAUAACAGAAUUUUCCAGUUGCAUAUCUUUUGUAAAGUGUUCAGACUGUUUUUUUAGCAAAGAAAUAAAAUUUCUAAGACUUUAUCUAAUUUUACUUUUUUUCGGAUUGUAAUACUAAAUCAAUUUGUCACAGUUGUUUUCCCUUCGUAAUAGUAUUGCAGUUUUAAAACAA